GACGAACGCUGGCGGCGUGCUUAACACAUGCAAGUCGAACGAUGAUCUCCCGCUUGCGGGGGUGAUUAGUGGCGAACGGGUGAGUAAUACGUGAGUAACCUGCCCUUGACUCUGGGAUAAGCCUGGGAAACCGGGUCUAAUACUGGAUACUACUUCCUGCCGCAUGGUGGGGGGUGGAAAGGGUUUUACUGGUUUUGGAUGGGCUCACGGCCUAUCAGCUUGUUGGUGGAGUAAUGGCUCACCAAGGCGACGACGGGUAGCCGGCCUGAGAGGGUGACCGGCCACACUGGGACUGAGACACGGCCCAGACUCCUACUGGAGGCAGCAGUGGGGAAUAUUGCACAAUGGGCGGAAGCCUGAUGCAGCGACGCCGCGUGAGGGAUGACGGCCUUCGGGUUGGAAACCUCUUUCAGCAGGGAAGAAGCCACAAGUGACGGUACCUGCAGAAGAAGCGCCGGCUAACUACGUG
rnacentral:rRNA from 1 species